AGAGUUUGAUCCUGGCUCAGGAUGAACGCUAGCGAUAGGCCUAACACAUGCAAGUCGAGGGGCAGCACAUGAAGCAGCAAUGCGGAUGGUGGCGACCGGCGCACGGGUGAGUAACGCGUAUGCAACCUGCCUACAACAAGGGAAUAACCCGUUGAAAGACGGACUAAUACCCUAUAAUACAGGGGUCCCGCAUGGGAAUAUUUGUUAAAGAUUUAUCGGUUGUAGAUGGGCAUGCGUUCCAUUAGCUAGUUGGUGAGGUAAGGGCUCACCAAGGCAACGAUGGAUAGGGGAGCUGAGAGGUUUAUCCCCCACACUGGUACUGAGACACGGACCAGACUCCUACGGGAGGCAGCAGUGAGGAAUAUUGGUCAAUGGGCGCAAGCCUGAACCAGCCACGUCGCGUGAAGGAAGACGGCCCUACGGGUUGUAAACUUCUUUUGUAAGGGAAUAAAGUGUAGUACGUGUACUAUUUUGCAUGUACCUUACGAAUAAGGAUCGGCUAACUCCGUGCCAGCAGCCGCGGUAAUACGGAGGAUCCGAGCGUUAUCCGGAUUUAUUGGGUUUAAAGGGUGCGCAGGCGGGAGAUUAAGUCGGCGGUGAAAUUUUGCAGCUCAACUGUAAAAGUGCCUUCGAAACUGGUUUCCUUGAGUGUGGAUGAAGUAGGCGGAAUUUGUGGUGUAGCGGUGAAAUGCAUAGAUAUCACGAGGAACUCCGAUUGCGCAGGCAGCUUACUAAGCCAUAACUGACGCUCAGGCACGAAGGCGUGGGGAUCAAACAGGAUUAGAUACCCUGGUAGUC
rnacentral:rRNA from 1 species